UACGAAGGGGGCUAGCGUUGUUCGGAAUCACUGGGCGUAAAGCGCACGUAGGCGGAUCUUUAAGUCAGGGGUGAAAUCCCGAGGCUCAACCUCGGAACUGCCUUUGAUACUGAGGAGCUUGAGUCCGGGAGAGGUGAGUGGAACUGCGAGUGUAGAGGUGAAAUUCGUAGAUAUUCGCAAGAACACCAGUGGCGAAGGCGGCUCACUGGCCCGGUACUGACGCUGAGGUGCGAAAGCGUGGGGAGCAAACAGG
rnacentral:rRNA from 1 species